rnacentral:rRNA from 1 species
AUUGAACGCUGGCGGCAGGCCUAACACAUGCAAGUCGAGCGGAGCGGCGGACGGGUGAGUAAUGCCUAGGAAUCUGCAUGGUAGUGGGGGAUAACGUCCGGAAACGGGCGCUAAUACCGCAUCCUAUCAGAUGAGCCUGGGUCGGAUUAGCUAGUGGGUGGGGUAAAGGCAUACCAAGGCGACGAUCCGUAACUGGUCGGAGAGGAUGAUCAGUCACACUGGAACUGAGACACGGUCCAGACUCCUACGGGAGGCAGCAGUGGGGAAUAUUGGACAAUGGGCGAAAGCCUGAUCCAGCCAUGCCGCGUGUGUGAAGAAGGUCUUCGGAUUGUAAAGUACUUUCAGCGGGGAGGCGUUACCCGCAGAAGAAGCACCGGCUAACUCCGUGCCAGCAGCCGCGGUAAUAC